GGUAGUUCAAAGAAAUAACGGCUGACGCGCAUCAAAAGCGCCAUCUUCAACUUGUUUCGGCGCGUGCUGCCCGCAUAACCCCAUCGAAUCUAAACGAUAAAGAAUUUCCAGCUAAACCCACUGGAACUUGGAGACUUCAGGAAAGCGACUGACAGAAUUCACAAAUGUCCUUUCAAAUAGAGGUGAUGUUGUUCAUGCUUCGCAAAAUCAUGCUGAAUGGGCUUACCAUAUGCAUAAUUAAUCAGAGUAUUAACCCUGGUAGAAAAUUAACGGUUCGAAUUUGCUAAGACCUUUAGACUUAGCUAACUGUUUAAGGUAGUUUGAAUGCAAAACGAAAACGUAAGUAUCAUUUUAUCCAAUCGGCCCAGUCUGUGAACCCUGCGAUAGAUGGCGGCACACUCGUUUAUACGGUGCACAUUUUUCUGCUUUGCGAGUCUAUGUUUGUUACAUACUUAUAUACCAUACAUGUAAACAAAAUAUAUGUAUAUGCUAAAGUUGUAGUUGCAUAAUUUAUAAUUUAUUAAUUUAUAAAUUACAACAAUGGAUGCUAUACAUUCCAAGUGGCGUAAACCGUAGCCAAAAAAAAAUCGUAAAAGUGCUACGAGUGCAGCUAAGCUAAUAAAAGCUCGAGCAAAUGUAAACAAGACUGAUCAAAAUAAAAAUGCAACAACAACUAGUGUUCCAAAUCGUAAUUCUCUCAGUGAAAAACCUUGCACUAGAAGUGUUUCUAACAAUACAGUAAAUGAUAUGCAAGCUAAACUGCAAGAGUCAGCAACAACAAGAAAAUUGGCGUUUACUGAUAUGUUAAAAAGUUCAAAUGAUGUUGUUGAUGAGGAAGAAAACAUGUUUAUUAACAUAAAUGUUUUUAAAGUUAUAGCUGACAAGAUGACAUGUGAAUUUUGUAAAACAAAUUCAGUGAAUUUUGAAUUAGGACAACGAAAUGGUUUUGCUGUGAAUUUAUUAUUUAUUUGCAAAGUUUGUGGUGAAGUAAUCCUAAUAAGAACAACUCUUCUUUCGUGAUCAAUGAGAUCGUAGUGCAGUCUUUUACAAAAGUAGGAUUAGGAAUAGCUGCUCUUCAGAAUGUUUGUGCUUCUGUAAUAUUAGAAGUUCUUUCAAAGAGCAGAAAAAUUGUGCAUCAAGUUCAUAAAAGUUUGAAUCCAGAUUUAUUAUUUGAAAAAGUGAUUGACAUUCUUUCUUCGUACGAUGGAUCUUGGAAUAUGCGUGGGUUCACCUCUCUUUAUGGAUUUGGUUGCAUUAUUGAUGCGAUGACCGGUCUUGAUGUCGACUAUGAAGUGCUUAGUAAAUAUUGCCACAUGUGCAUGAUUACUGAAAAUGAUUUAGGAUCUGACUCUCCAGAGUUUGAUAUUUGGUACAAAUCCCACAAAACUUCAGGCAAUUGUAAUAAAAAUUAUGAUGGCUCUUCCGGCUCCAUGGAGUUAGCCAUAGCUGAAAUUCUAUGGCGAAGAUCUGUGAGUGAUUGUGAAAUGAGAUAUAUGACAAUGCUAUCUGAUGGUGACGCUAAGACAUUCAAUCAUUUAUCCUCACUUAAUAUUUAUUCGGAUCCAUUAGGGAAAGAAGAGUGCAUCAAUCAUGUGGCUAAACGCUUGUUUACAGCUUUAAGAGAAAUAGUAAAAAGUGCUAUAUAUGAAAGAUUAUCAAAUGAAGAAUUAUUAGCUCGGUGCAGCCAAGGACUUACUCAAAAUGCCAACGAGGCUAUACAUUCAGUGCCGUGGAGAAAGUGCUCCAAAAGUAAUUCUUAUUUAAUACAAAGUCUAAAAUGAUUUCUUUUUUUAGAAAGCACAAAUAUCCCUAUAUCGAAGAAAAUACAGAAAAGAGUAGUCGUAAUUAGGUUCUUACCAAAUUAGAUCGCAUAUACAUAACCUUGAAACAAUUUAAUAAUAUUAAUUAAUCACUGAUCGGGGUUUCAACCCACGUCAGGAACUCACGGCCGAGGAUAUGUGGAAUCCUGUCUUUGUUUACGAUAGAAAUUGUUUAGUUAAAGAACUUGUGAAGUUCUGUUGUUUGACUUAACGAAUCGAAUAUGUGAAUCUAAAAUACCACCGCGAAUGUCUACGACGUACCUUUAGAUACAAAUGAGUUCGUGCGUAAUGAAUGUCUUGUCGCCUCGGACCCGUACUCGUGCUUGGAAUGAGUCGAUUUAGGAGCUGGCUACGUAUUUCGUCGCGUGCCGGGAACCAACUAACUCGCGCGCGUUCGCUCCUCAAAAUAAAGCUGAGCACGCCCGCUUCUUCUCCCCUCUCUUAACUGUAUACAGUUCGGAGAACUUCGCCUGCGAACUGGAGCUCUGUAUAAAGUGGCGCCAUCUUAACCCUACUCUCUUACUUAUCCAUUCUACAACAAGAAACAUGAACCAGAGUCUAAAGCUGCAAGAAUUUCAAAAAAAUAUAGCAGUAAACGACAAGAGUCAUUAAAAGUACAAUCAGAAGGUGUUACAUAUGGUGUCGGAUGUUUCUAAUUUUACAGGAUUACAGGAUUUGAGAUUAUUAUUAUCUGAUGACUGAGAUCAGACUGAUGCUUAGUGAGGUUAUGUAAAUAUAAAAUAAGAAGAUAUUAAUGUUAACAUUAAAAACCAAAGUACGGAUGAUUAUGAAAUCAUUUGUAAAGAUUUAUGUACAGUCAAAUAGAUUAUUUAUAAAAUAUUAUGAAUAACAGUACUUUUUUACAAAAACCUCAUUUUCUCAGCUUUAAGUUUUGAAAUAUACAAAAUGCAUCCUGCGCAAUGCAUUUCCAUUUCAUGAUUCCAGCAAACUACGGUGAAUUCUUUGUUAUUUUAACUGUAAAUCAUAGUGAUUACAUUUUUAUUAUAGCCCAUAUGAUAUUAAUGGCAAAUCCAGGUACAAC
rnacentral:lncRNA from 1 species